CCAAAUUUAAAUCAGUUCUUCCUUAGCCGAUGGGAAAUGCAUUCAAAAAAUUUCGUACGGAUAUGUUUGGUAUUUCUUGAGUUAUCGUGCUCACAGACAAACACACACACACACACACACACGCACACACACACACACACACACACACACACACACACACACACACACACACACAUACACACACACAUACAAACCCAGAUGAUUACAUAACCUCCUGGCGGAGGUAAUAAUGUACUAUCUACUACUAUUAUUAGUAAUGUAUACUAAUUAGAAAUUUUAAAUCUACUAUUAUUAACCUUAAUAAAUGUGGUUUACAAAAUUGGCCUCCUUUCCCGCAGUAGUAGAAAAUAUGCGGUUAUUAUAUAGGUUGUUGAAAUAUAGAUACCGUUUAAUUAAAUCAAGUUAACGUUUCAUAAUAAAGUUAACAAAACUUCUGUUGAGAUGCAAC